GGGCUUUGUCUCUAGGUAUAGCUGUCGUCAACAACAUUUAACUGGCUUUUAUUUUCCUACUGUGUGAACAGACGUUCAUUACUGCAGGCUGCUGGAACAGUAAGCAGUUGAAAACAUCACAUCUUAAGACUGAGAUGUUCAUUACUGUGAUAUUUGGUGAGACUGUGGACUUGAUGGACAGGAUGGGAGAGCUGGUGAACUUGGCAGAGAGAGCACAGAGCACCGACCUCGUCAGCAGUUUGCUGAAGGAGAGAGAGAGCUAUAUUCCAUUACGUGUAUCACGAGGUGAAGGCAGUGAAGGUCCAAAGUAUACUGCAGUGUAUGACUUUGGGACAAGUUACCCUGAGCUAGCAGAGAUUCUGAGAAAACUGUCAAAUCCUUCAAAGGAGAAGGACAAAAGGGGUGGAGCAUCUAAAAGGGGAGGAGUCAGUCAAAACCGCAUCAAAGCAGCUAUCAACUUUAAGAAAGCCAUCACAACACCUCGGAGCUGAAAACACUCUCUUACUAUUUCCUUGUGUUCUUUAACAAUGUUGUAAAUAUUUUAUUUAUAGAAUUGGUUAUGUCAUAUAAAUCAAUGUGAAGAAUAAAUGUUGUUUGUGUAUAUACACAACCAUUCAAAAGUUU
rnacentral:lncRNA from 1 species